rnacentral:rRNA from 1 species
AUUGAACGCUGGCGGCAGGCCUAACACAUGCAAGUCGAGCGGAUGACGGGAGCUUGCUCCUUGAUUCAGCGGCGGACGGGUGAGUAAUGCCUAGGAAUCUGCCUGGUAGUGGGGGACAACGUUUCGAAAGGAACGCUAAUACCGAAUACGUCCUACGGGAGAAAGCAGGGGACCUUCGGGCCUUGCGCUAUCAGAUGAGCCUAGGCCGGAUUAGCUAGUUGGUGGGGUAAUGGCUCACCAAGGCGACGAUCCGUAACUGGUCUGAGAGGAUGAUCAGUCACACUGGAACUGAGACACGGUCCAGACUCCUACGGGAGGCAGCAGUGGGGAAUAUUGGACAAUGGGCGAAAGCCUGAUCCAGCCAUGCCGCGUGUGUGAAGAAGGUCUUCGGAUUGUAAAGCACUUUAAGUUGGGAGGAAGGGCAGUAAGUUAAUACCUUGCUGUUUUGACGUUACCGACAGAAUAAGCACCGGCUAACUCUGUGCCAGCCGCCGCCGUAA